GUGAUUAAAAUUUAUAUAAUGAUUUUAAAUAUCUCGAAAAUAAGGGAGCUAUAUUUAUAUUAUUUUUUUUGUAGCAAUAAAAUUAUAUAUAUAGAUUUAGAAAUUAAAUGUUAAACGAACUUAUUAAUAUCUAGUUUUCUUAGAAAUAAAUUUAAUUUAGAUAUAAUUAUUUUAGUAAAUUAAAUUUUAUUUUAAUUUAUUAAUUUUUAUAUUAAAAAUUUAUGGGAUAAUCUAUAAAUUUAAGAUAAAAAUUUAAUUUUAAUUUUUAAUGUUAUAGAGAUAAUAUUUUUCUUUAAUUUUAAUAAUUUAAUAAUUUAAUAUUUAUAAAUUAAUAAUGAUUUAAAUUUAUAUUUUAUUUUUCUAUAAAAAUUUAUAUUUUAAUUAAUAAAAUAUAGAAAUAAUGAUUAGAUUAGUAAUAAAGUUAUAUUUUAUAAUGAUAUUUUGUAUUAUAUAAUUUAAAGGAAUUCGGCAAAUAUAUUAUUCACCUGUUUAUCAAAAACAUGUCCUGUUGAUUAUAAUUUUAGGUCGAUCUGCUCAAUGAAUUAUUUUAAAUAGCUGCAGUAUGUUGACUGUACAAAGGUAGCAUAAUAAAUUGUCUUUUAAUUGAAGAAUUGUAUGAAAGAAUUAAUGAAAUAAUAACUGUCUCUAAAUUAUUAAAUGAAUUUAAAUUUUUAGUUAAAAUUCUAAAAUUUAAUUAUGGGACGAUAAGACCCUAUAGAAUUUAAUUUAAUUUUUAAAUUUAUUUAUAAUUUUAAUAAAUAUAUUUAAGAUUAAAUUUGAUUGGGAGGAUUGGUAAAUUUAAUAAACUUUAUUUAAGAUUUAAUUUUGAUAUAAAGAUAAUUUUUUGAAUUAUAAAUUGUAAUUAAAAGAAUAAAUUACCUUAGGGAUAACAGCGU
rnacentral:rRNA from 1 species